rnacentral:lncRNA from 1 species
CUCCGCGCCCAGGCCAUUUUUCAUAACGCCGCAGAUCCGCUUUUGUGCCUCUGAGGCGACUAAACAGAUGAAUAACGAGCAAAGUCUCCCGAAAAUAGUUUGAAAGUUGGUUUCUGACAAGAGGAAAGAAAAGGCUGCAACACUAAAGGAAGACUCAAAGUGUUAAAAGGACGCUCAAAAUGUAGUAUUGUGGCAGGUCGGGAAUCCCAUCAUCUUUAUUGAGAGACAUUCCUUUGGAAAGAAUACUUCCAAUCAUUCUAUCAAAAAUCUUAUACUUGAAGAGAAGCCCUGCUGGAAUGCAGAGACGGGGUUUUACUGUGUUAGCCAGGAUGGUCUCGGUCUCCUGACCUCGUGAUCUACCCGCCUCAGCCUCCCAAAGUGUUGGGAUUACAGGCAUGAGCCACCGCGCCCAGCCGUCUUGUCAAAAUACUCUAAGACUUCAUCUGUUUAGAAUCAAAAGUGCGGAAGACCUGGGAAUUAUGUAAUAAGGAUAGCAGAAUAAUCCUCGUCACUGACAGGUGGUGAGCUGUAAAGUGUUCUUUUGUUGCAGUGGCAGAGAUUUCAGCAAUGGAGGGAAAUCCAGUGGCCAAGAUGCUUACCUGUCUCGGUGUCCAGCAUGUGUCCUGGAGGAGUGCCCCUAAAGCACCUUCAGCUGUUUAUUUAAACACUUGACUCCAGGCUCUGAUGCAUUUUAAUUUUUCAACAUUUAAAUUUAGCUGUUUUAAUGAGGUUUUAGUUUUAAUAAGUAACAAAAGAUUUUUUCAGUAUUAAUUAUCAUGAGGUCUUAAACUCUGUAAUCUAUAUAAAACUCAGAGAGAACCUGUCUUGAGUAGUUUAAAUCUCUAAUUAAAUCAGUAUUUCUACCUAGCAACAGAGUAGCAAAAGUAUUAAUUCAGUGGUUCUCAAUAGGGGUAGGGGAGCAGAUUUUGACCGCCAGCCCAGGGCACAUUUGGCAAUGUCAAGAUGUUUUUCGCUGUCAUAACUUACGGAGGGGAUAGGUGCUACUGGCAUCUAGUGGGUAGAGGUCACGGAUGCUGCUGAAUAUCCUGCAGAGCUCAGGACAGCCCCUAUCUCCAUAAAAACUUUUCUGGCCCAGAAUGUCAAUAGUGCAACUGUUGAGAAACCUUCUAUAAAAUGAUUGGUGUGGGUAAGAGAAUAUACUAAAAUGCUAAAAUAGCAGGCUUGAAAUUAUUUGCAUAUCAGGAGAGUGGAGUUUAUAACUGACUGACUAAAAACUCUGGUGUAGGACCUAUCCUCCAGAGGCGAUGCUAAAUCUGCGGAUAGGACACUAAAUCAGCAUCUGUAAAAUUUGAAACAUAUCUCCACGGUGGGGUCAGACCAAAGAAUGGUAAAUGUUGCUUUGAUUUUAAAAAGUUGGAAAUGAUGUUUCUCAGAGGAAAUACUAGGUCUCAGUUGAGCUGUGAGAGGGGGCAGGUUGCUAUGUUUUUUUCUCUACAAUAGUGCACAGUGUCUUUUGAAUGGGAGAAGUUCUGAAUACCCUACUGAAGUAGCCCCUGCUGCAGUGUUCUCUACCAUGACAUGCUCUUUUUGCUUUCCCAGCACUUUUAUUAACUUUUAAUUAAUUUUUAUUGUUCAUGUUGCUAUUGCUAUUAGUCUACUGUCUGUCUCAUUGGACUGUAAGCUCUAUGAGAGUGGCAAAUAUAUAGUAUCACUUAAUAUUGUAUGUCUAGUAGCUACCAGAGUGCCUGCCGUUAUAACGAGCAUGGAUAAAUUUAAUAUUUUUGAAUUAAAUGAAUGAAUUAAACA